GAGCUCUUGCAAACUGGUCGUUUGUAAACACCAAAGUGGGUGGAAGGAGGAGCAGGUCCUAAUCUUUGGACCUUAAUCCAGCUCGGCUCUUCCUGCUGACUUUGUGAAAAGGGAAUUAAUAAGAUUCCCCCGCUCCAAAAGUGUGUAGUUCAGGGCGCUCGAGUUUGGGGGUUCUUUUUGCAGUUUCGCCUCGGGGCGGCCAGGGAACCAUGAGCGCCCAGCAGUGCCGGAGAGUCUGGCUGCACCAAGUUGCUCGCAGCGGCCGAGGCCUUCUCUGGACUCCGCAGGUGGGACUCCGGCGCGUCCCUCCGCUCGCUUUCCCGAGUUGCUGGACGAGGCGCCCGCCUGCAGCCCGGCUCCUUCUCCCGCUCAGCCGCUCGUUGUCCUCGCGGCCAGCCGCUCCUGGAGGCGACUACGAGGCGGUUUUCAGGGCGUCGGUGGAGGAGCCUGAGAAACACUGGGCUGAAGCGGCUCAGGGCAUCGACUGGCACAAGCCCUGGGCUCAAACCAUGCAGAGGAGAGAUCCCUAUAGCACCUCCUGGUUUGUUGGGGGAGAGCUGAAUAUUUGUUAUAAUGCUAUAGAUCGCCAUGUCAAGAAUGGACAAGGGGACCAGAUUGCUAUCAUCCAUGACAGUCCUGUAACAAAUGCUAAAGAGUUUAUAACUUACAAAGAACUUCUUGAACAGGUUUCCAAGCUAGCUGGUGUCAUGAGGAGCCACGGUGUGAAGAAGGGAGACCGUGUUGUCAUCUACAUGCCAAUGAUUCCACAGACGAUGUACACAAUGCUGGCGUGUGCAAGAAUAGGAGCCAUACAUAGUCUCAUUUUCGGUGGAUUUGCUUCAAAAGAGCUUUCAAGUCGCAUUGAUCAUGCCAAGCCCAAACUGGUUGUAACGGCAACUUUUGGAAUAGAACCUGGAAGAAAAGUCGAAUACAUACCACUUUUAGAGAAAGCGUUGGAGAUGAUAGAGCACCAACCUGACAAAGUUCUGGUUUAUAGCCGCCCUAACAUGGGAGAUGUUGCUCUUAAACCAGGGCGUGACCUGGACUGGCAUGAAGAAAUGGCGAAAGCAAAGCCAUGUGACUGUGUCCCUGUCCUUUCGGACCAUCCACUUUAUAUUCUGUAUACAUCAGGAACAACUGGCACCCCCAAGGGUGUUGUUCGACCAACAGGUGGCUAUGCCGUUAUGUUAAACUGGACCAUGUCAGCUAUAUACGGCCUUAAAUCUAAAGAGGUUUGGUGGGCAGCCUCUGAUUUAGGCUGGGUGGUUGGCCAUUCUUAUAUCUGUUACGGACCUCUCUUGCACGGGAAUACAACGGUUUUAUAUGAGGGGAAGCCUGUGGGAACACCAGACGCUGGAGCUUUUUUCCGUGUGCUCGCAGAGCAUGGAGUCGUAGCCUUGUUUACUGCACCGACUGCAAUUAGAGCAAUCCGUCAACAGGACCCUGAGGCUAACUUGGGGAAACAGCACAGCCUGACAAGGUUCCGAACACUCUUUGUAGCUGGUGAACGCUGUGAUGUGGAUACGUUAGAAUGGUGCAAGAAAAUCUUCAAGGUUCCAGUUUUGGAUCAUUGGUGGCAAACUGAAACAGGAUCUCCAAUAACAGCUUCUUGUGUUGGCUUAGGAAACUCACUAACUCCUCCCUCAGGUCAGACAGGAAAACUGGUGCCUGGAUACAAUGUGAUGAUUCUGGAUGAUGGCAAGCAAGCUGUAAAAGCGAAGACUUUAGGAAAUAUUGUGGUGAAGCUGCCUUUGCCUCCAGGAGCCUUUCUGGGCCUUUGGAAAAAUGAGGAUCUGUACAAGGAAAUAUACUUCCAGAAAUUUCCAGGGUACUAUAAUACUAUGGAUGCGGGUUAUAUGGAUGAAGAGGGCUAUUUGUAUGUGAUGUCUCGAGUGGAUGACGUGAUCAAUGUUGCAGGGCAUAGGAUUUCUGCAGGCGCAAUUGAGGAGGCUGUGCUCUCCCAUAGCGCUGUGGCAGAUUGUGCAGUUGUCGGCCAGGAAGACUCCUUAAAGGGCCACAUCCCACUCGCUCUGUGCGUCCUAAGAAAUGGAGUAAACACUGAAGAGGAAAAGCUUUUGGAUGAAAUCGUAAAGAGAGUUAGAGAAAAUAUUGGCCCCGUGGCAGCCUUCCGGAAAGUAGUGUUUGUGAAACAGAUACCAAAGACACGUUCUGGCAAGAUACCGCGGUCAGCUCUUUCUUCCUUGGUAAACGGCAAGCCAUACAAGAUAACUCCAACCAUUGAGGACCCGGCUGUGUUUAAACAUGUAGAAGAAAUGCUGAAGACCAAGUUAAAAGUGAGCUCUGCACCUAUCUGGAUCCAGCUCAGUACUUCAAGUCCAGCAAGUGAUUAUCCUGAUCAACACAGAGAACAAGACUGGAAAUAGCAGGGCCUUGGGCACAGAAGGAAAAAAUGGCCCUCUGCAAAAGCUUACCUGUAGGUAAAACGAUGAUGAUGAUAAUCAAACAGAACAGAAGAAGCCCUUGGUGAUGGGGACCAGCUUGCUAUGAAAUUUGAAGCCAGGCCAGGUUGACUUAACAGCUUUAAGAUCUGCUUGGAACGCAGUCUCAAGUUCAUCCGUGGAAUUACAGACACUCUGAGACUAUACAAGAAAAUGUUUGAUGAGCUCAAGAGACAACAUCGGCAGCUGCCAAUCACCAUGUUCCUCACACAGAUACCAGCCGCUGCUGUCGUAGCAGAUGUGCUCGUGCAACACACCUCUGAAUCUGAACCACAGCCAAGCACUUCUCAGUCUUCAUAUAAUCAGAAGCAUCACCCAGUGAGGGAGGAGGAUGACUUCAUUCGUCCCUCACAGGUACUUGGCUACACCUCAGAGAACAAAGGCUUAUUAUGUGUAUGUCCUUCGAAUCCUGGGAUCCAGGUCUCUGCAGGACUGGCUCUUCAUGAAUUUGGAACAGCAGCAUAUGGAAAUCAUAUAUGGGAGUUAGUUCCUCUGAUAAGGUUGACUUCCGAGAAGUCUCAGCAAGGCCGUCUUGGAUAAACAUGUUAUUAGACAAUCAGCUGUCUAAUGCCUAUUAUAAUGAAGAAAUGGAGGGCAGCAUUUUUCUAUAUAACUGAAAACUUGAAGAUCAGGAUUUAUUUCCCCUUGAUGUUUGUUCUAUGCCAACGUUGGCCAGCAUCUGAAGAAUUUGGAAGGCAAAACCCUUGUCAGCACGAAUACGUGCGAACCGUCGAGCUGUCUAGUCUCUGCAACCGCGCUGACGCCACUGCAAAUUGAUAACCAAAACAACAAGAAGAAUCUUGGAAUUAGAGGAAGAGGGGAAAAACAAGGAUCCCACUCUGUAAGCUGCCUCAUAUGAGGGAGAUCAAGGAUAUGAAGCCCUCAAAUAUUCUACAGUACCUCUCCACAAUCAUGCAUUUCCUGGUACCAUGUGCUGCCUUCAACAUGGAAGUUCAAGAUUCAAUGUUGUAGUUAAAAGAGAUAUUUCAUUAAUAGGAAAACACCCAUGUAUGUACAACAUUCGUCAACUGAAUUAAACUCUUCUAAAACUGACAGGCUUUUUCUUAACAUUGUAGUCAUCAUAAGGAUAUGGUAACAUAUUGGUAUGGGCUGUGUACGCAAAGGGGACUGCAGAAUGAGAGAGGGGGAAGCCUGAAAAUGGGGGUGAUCUGUGUGAAGGGAAAGUUCAAAAACAAAAAGAGGAAGGG